CUGCAAUCUAGUGUGAGGAUGAGAUGGUAUUUUAAUAGGGCUGCAUUUAUCAACUGUAACAAGGGAGGGAAUGUGCUCCAACCCAGCGCGCCUUGUGGGCAAUGCAAGCAAGAGUCAGCGAGUGCGACCGCCGGAGGAGUGCGGCGAUGGGAGGAAGGCAGACGGACAGACAGCCUGCUGGGAACGAGGGCGGUCUGCAGGUGAUCUCGCAGGGGAGGGUGCGGCACCCACUGCCCAUCUUAGCGGGAUCCCAUCCCCUCGCGCCACCAUCCUCAAUGCUCCUGGAAACCUGAAUUUCUGACUUGACUUGCGAUGGGAUUUGCAUGUCUAGCCAGUGACACUACUAUUUUCAGAAGUAAUUACAUUUUUAAUUACGCUUUUUAAUAGCUGGUAGCUGCUGCUUUGCAGUUUUGUUCCUGUCCCUCUUGGACGCACCUUGGAGCAACACCAGGAGCCUCCACUUCCCUUCCAGUGAGAUGUGAGAGUGUGAACACACAGCGAGAAAGGGGAGAACGCGUGUGUCGAUGCGUGCAACUGAUCUCGCAGCCACAUAUCGCAGCUGGAGACUGAAACCAGAGCUGGGCAGUGCAUCUCAGAGCCACGGGAACAGCCCCUCAGCAUUUCCCAACACAAGUCUGGAGAAAGAAUGAGGAAGACAGAAGGGCCCAGAUCUGCAGCGUGCAGACAGAGCUGGUCCUAGGAAAAGCACACCAGCUUUCCUCUAAAUCAGGCGUUUGGGCUGAGCGCUUGUGAUUGUAGGAGAAAGGGAAAGUGAUCAUAUAAAAGCAGCCACAGGAGAGGUGAAAUAAACUCUUCAAAGAGGGCUCGUGCUGGUGCAGAUUCUGCAUUGAAAAUCCAGAGUCAGAGAAUUCUCUGUGACGUUGGGCAAGGCGCUGCAUCUCUUACCAGCUCAGACUGCCAGUUGGUCACCGAGACACACCAACCUCCGCACUGCUCCUGUCCGUGGAAACAGACAGAGGUGUGGAAGAAUGAGGGUAUAUCUUUUCUAGAGAUCCGAAAGAAGGAGAGCUCUAAAUACAACAGAAAGGAAUUAGAGGCAGCUCAUUUUGAUCCAGGCAGAUCCUUCAACCUUUUGAAAUUUAAAGGAUCCCUGACUUUCCUGAAGCAGUCUCAAGACUCCCAUGCACCCAUGUGCAGAGAAAAUAAAAGUCCCUCUGCGCCGCCUGCUCAUUAAUUUGCUUUUCUUUUCUCAUCAUUUGUUUGCUAGCUUGUCUGCUUGGGAAGAUGGCGUGGGUUUCUAUGAUUUUCCAGUCAUUGCCUAACCCACCUGUUGUAGGGCCCAGCAGCGCUUAAUGGCACUGAGCACCACGGAGCUGCAAUGCCCAUAAGCAUGUCUGUUCCCAGUCCCUUUGGAGUCACUCCCUCACAGACACCCUUUCAUCAGCAGAUUUCAGGUGUGCAGCAAACCCUGGGCGCAUGGAGCACAGCAUACUGGAGCACUGCUGGCUGCACACCCCAGCACGCACCGGUGCGUGUCCCUGUCCAGCCAGCUACAAACAGCAGCACAGAGUGGCUGUGAUUUGGCAUCUCAUUACCACAAUGUCUUCGGCAGUUCAGGUUUUCCAGCUUUCUAACCCGGCUUAGAAAGAAAUGAUGCAAUCCUUGGAAAGUUACUAUUGAUUUGAGCCUCAUGAAGUUGGUGGCCAAGCGUCAUCGGGUCAGAUGAGAUCAGGUCUUCCCCAGACACCCAUAUGACUGUAGACACAGCUCCAUCUCCUACUGCAACUUGGAAUUCUUUUAUGGGUAAAGAUGCAGAGUUUCACAGAGAUGCUAGGAAAAAUCUAGAAAAAUCUCGAUUUCUUGUGAGCUCAUCCCUUUGUACGUGACUGAGAAGUUCUGAGCCGACCUGCGAUCAGGCAGUGGGUCACUCAGCUGCACGGCAUGAAGACUGAGCAGGUUCAUCACAGCCCUCAGCCUGCCCUCGAGCCCAGCAGCCAGGACUGCUUUAUUCUCAGUGUAAUAAAACCAGAUUUGCACUGAAAGAGAGAGAUGAAGUUUCCCUUGGAGACCAGGCGGAGACCAGGUGGCGGAGUGGAUCCUUCUGUGGUUGUACUGAAGAGUUUCUUAUGAAAGGGAAGGAGCUGUUUGCAGAACUGCCCUGGAAAAUGGUGGUUUAACCUCUUAGGGCACAUUCAGAAAGAAGUAUAUAUAUUUUUUUCUUCUGUUUGUUUAAUGAAAAAGUAAAUGAAAAAUAAAGUUAGAAGUGAAUCAUUUAGAGUGAGUAAAAUAUGUCACUUAGUUUGAAGUAGAAAGUAUCCCCUCACUUGUCAGCAUUCAGAAAACAAAUGCGGUACAUUUCAGAAUGGUGCACUGUUUCAUGUACAAAUGGUAGAAGAGAACGCUUUGAUUUGCUUAAAUUUUAAGAACGGAACGUCUUGUUAAGUUGAACAUGAACUCAUAAAAUGUUUCAGUUGACCCAAAUCUGUUUUCUUCAGAGCAUGAUGUUUUAUCCACAUCUCUCCCAGCACUAGCAGUACGUCCCAGAAAUGUUCUGUACAGCAUCAGAAUAGGGCCCCAGCCUUUCUUAAGCACCUGUGAGCCCUGCUCAGAGGCUUUG
ensembl:lncRNA